AACGAACGCUGGCGGCAUGCCUAACACAUGCAAGUCGAACGAGACCUUCGGGUCUAGUGGCGCACGGGUGCGUAACACGUGGGAAUCUGCCCUUCGGUUCGGAAUAACAGAGAGAAAUUUCUGCUAAUACCGGAUAACGACGAAAGUCCAAAGAUUUAUCGCCGAAGGAUGAGCCCGCGUAGGAUUAGGUAGUUGGUGGGGUAAUGGCCUACCAAGCCGACGAUCCUUAGCUGGUCUGAGAGGAUGAUCAGCCACACUGGGACUGAGACACGGCCCAGACUCCUACGGGAGGCAGCAGUGGGGAAUAUUGGACAAUGGGCGAAAGCCUGAUCCAGCAAUGCCGCGUGAGUGAUGAAGGCCUUAGGGUUGUAAAGCUCUUUUACCAGGGGAUGAUAAUGACAGUACCUGGAGAAUAAGCUCCGGCUAACUCCGUGCCAGCAGCCGCGUAAACUGUAGUCGU
rnacentral:rRNA from 1 species